GCUAUACAGCAGAACCUCAAUUUUAUUCUCAGUACUGCUCCAAUUUGGGAUAGGGUGGAGCUCAAAGGUAAUAAAUAUGUACUUGGAGAAUUUCUG